rnacentral:rRNA from 1 species
GCAAGUCGAGGGGUAACAGGGGACUUCGUGUUCCGCUGACGACCGGCGCACGGGUGAGUAACGCGUAUGCAACCUACCUUUAACUGGGGGAUAGCCCGAAGAAAUUCGGAUUAAUACCCCAUAAAACUGUUAAUAAGCAUUUACUGACAGUAAAAACUCCGGUGGUUAGAGAUGGGCAUGCGUAACAUUAGUUAGUUGGUGAGGUAACGGCUCACCAAGGCGACGAUGUUUAGGGGGCCUGAGAGGGUGGUCCCCCACACUGGUACUGAGACACGGACCAGACUCCUACGGGAGGCAGCAGUGAGGAAUAUUGCGCAAUGGAGGCAACUCUGACGCAGCCAUGCCGCGUGCAGGAUGACGGCCCUACGGGUUGUAAACUGCUUUUAUACAGGAAGAAACCCAUCUACGCGUAGAUGGUUGACGGUACUGUAAGAAUAAGCAUCGGCUAACUCCGUGCCAGCAGCCGCGGUAAUACGGAGGAUGCGAGCGUUAUCCGGAUUCAUUGGGUUUAAAGGGUGCGUAGGCGGGAUAGUAAGUCAGUGGUGAAAUCCUGCAGCUUAACUGUAGAACUGCCAUUGAUACUGCUUUUCUUGAGUUCGGUUGAGGUAGGCGGAAUGUGUAAUGUAGCGGUGAAAUGCUUAGAUAUUACACAGAACACCGAUUGCGUAGGCAGCUUACUAAGCCGUAACUGACGCUGAGGCACGAAAGCGUGGGGAGCGAACAGGAUUAGAUACCCUGGUAGUCCACGCUGUAAACGAUGAUCACUAGCUGUUGGCGAUAUAUAGAUCAGCGGCAAA